AAUGAACGUUGGCGGCGUGGAUUAGGCAUGCAAGUCGAGCGCUCAUCAGCAAUGGUGGGAGCGGCGAACGGCGUAGUAAUGUGUAGGAACGUACCCUCUGGUCGGGGAUAGCUACGGGAAACUGUAGGUAAUACCCGAUGAUCUCUGUGGAGCAAAGGUGUGAUUCCGCCAAGGGAUGGGCUUGCGUCUGAUUAGCUAGUUGGUAAGGUAAAUGCUUACCAAGGCGACGAUCAGUAGCUGGUCUGAGAGGAUGAUCAGCCACACUGGGACUGAGACACGGCCCAGACUCCUACGGGAGGCAGCAGUGGGGAAUUUUGGACAAUGGGCGCAAGCCUGAUCCAGCAAUGCCGCGUGCAGGAAGAAGGCCUUCGGGUUGUAAACUGCUUUUGUACGGAACGAAAAAGUCCGGGUUAAUACCCUGGGCCCAUGACGGUACCGUAAGAAUAAGCACCGGCUAACUACGUG
rnacentral:rRNA from 1 species